GUGAAGCAUGAUAUCAAGUCGCUUGUUUGCUUGUGCCGAAUUUCGACCCCACAUUAAAUGCUCAAAGUUCCUCCCAUUCCACAGUGUGGUGUGUAAGCUGUUUGUCUGCUGAUAACAACCCCCUCAGCAACAGGGAGAUAAACCCCACAUGCUGCUGUAGAGACAACUAACAUGUUGUCUGUCAACAGGGCAAAACAGUAUCAGAACGGUGAUAUCACUGUGGUUGGCUUCACUAAAAGUAAAUUUUUCAGUAACAACAUUAAAAAAAAGUUUAGAUUUUUUGCCAUGUGAUAUCAAGGAUGCACAGCAGGUGGCGUGGUCUGUUGUCUGAGUUUAACUAAAUUAGGCCCAGUGCACUCAGGCUUCACUCCAUGUGCAAGCACAUGACAUCCUCCCAGCAGCAAGCUCUUUUCAUUGCGGCUACUUGCUUUUGCAAACAUGACACCAGAGGGCCAGGACAAAUGCAGCUCGCUUCAGAAUCCCGCACUCAUCAUUUUAGCCAAGUCGCUGUUGACCCGGCGCCAACACCACAAAACAGGACAAGUAAUUUAAUUUGCCACUGCUGUCGACCUUGAAGCAGGGAAUGUAGGCUACCAGAAUCCCAAUAGGGAGGCUUGAAGAAAACAUCCUGGGAGCCGAGAGAGGGGUCAUAAUUUUGUCCUUCAGGAUUUUUCUAUUCCUGUUUUGAUGAUAGUAAGAUACGUGACUGGAAUGUGAUCAAUACUGGUGGUCGGAAAGGGACCCUGAACAGACUAAUGGGAUUAUGUCAGUUUGAAUCCGCCUUUGCCGCUUUCACUGCACACACUUGCAGCAAAACUGCAGCCAUGUUAUAUGUCUGCUCCCUAUUGGAGUUCUAGCCCAAGCGGAAAAACAUAGGGAUGCGAAUGAGUCGACACUCACCAGAUCAAUGGAGAGAAGAAGCACUUCUCGACCGGCAGCAUCUGGUUACAGUGCAGCCGAGGAUAUUGAAGAUUACAUGACAUCGCGUCAGGGCCUAGAUUAUUUGAUCGUCUCCUUAGCAUAGCUAGGAAUGCAUUGGUGCCACUUGCCGACCGCAGCGUCCAGGGAGACCUAAAAAGGGAAGGAGUCUCGCUCUGAUUCCUGGCAGCUCAUGGAGCAGUGGAGGCUAAAUUAGUCCUGGUUUCAUUGACUUCCAAUCCUCCAAGUCCCAGCAGCCCUGCAGCAAGAGGAGGGGAGGCCGGCUGGUCCUCAGGGGCCCUGAUGCUUCCUCAGAAGUUCCAGACACUGCCUGCGUAAGUUAAAGUGUCAGAUGGUGAGAUGAUAUUUCAGGGAAGCUUGAGCUGGGAGAUGCAUCUCUUUUAUUCUGCGUAAAGGUAAAAGUGACAAGAAUAACAUUAAGGAUUCUGAUAGGUUUACCAUUUUAACAUCACAACAAAUUAAAAGGUAAACUUUAGUGAUAGUUUAAGUACUGUAACCAAACUAUGUUCUCUGGUUCUUGCUCAGGGAUUUUGAGAGGCCAAAGGGGUUUAUAUAUCCAUUAUUUCUUUAGAUAUUUUUAAACCUCUUGCAACGGCUCAGAUUUAUAUUAGGACUGCGUAGAGGGAAAAUAUGCUUCAUUAUACAAAAAGAGAUCACUUUAUGGUACAAGCCACAAUGAUGUCUACCAAAUGUAUAAUGUAAUGGAAAGAUCACCAAAUAGUCUGGAAAAAAACAUUUAGCCUCUUUUACUUUCGGUUGCAGCGAAAUAUUGAUUUAUGAAAUUGUCAAAUUAUCAACUACAUCUUUGCACUGAAAACCUCCUGUCUAGAUUUCUGUAUUAGUAUUGUGUGAUAGGACACUGGCAUGAUAAAGAGGCUGUAACUUGUCUAGAACUUAUUCAUUUAUGGGAAAUAUGCCAAAAUGCCAUAAUAAUUUAUUAACGAUAUAUUACAUUAGGAAAUUAUGUGAUGUGUUGCAGAUAAUGUGCAACCUGCUCUGUAUGUUUUUUUU